rnacentral:sRNA from 1 species
AUAGAUUCUACCACUGCAUCAAGUGUGAUAUGAUAUUUAUCCACUCAAGAGUUAAAUUUUUCAAAUUUAAAAUGUGAGGCUUGCCGAGGAUUUUAGAUAUUUAAAAUUUAACUCUCGAGAGUGGAUAAAUAUCGUAUUACACGAGAUUUGGUGGUGGAAUCUGU